AUUGAACGCUGGCGGCAUGCUUUACACAUGCAAGUCGAACGGCAGCGCGGGCUUCGGCCUCGCGGCGGGUGGCGAACGGGUGGGUAAUGCCUCGUGACGUGCCCAGCAGUGGGGGAUAGCCAGGCUAAAGCCGGCUUAACUACUCAUACGACCUGAGGGUGAAAGCGGGGGUCCGCAAGGCCUCGCGCUAUUGGAGCGGCCGAUGUCGGAUUAGCUAGUUGGUUGGGUAAAGGCUUACCAAGGCGACGAUCCGUAGCUGGUCUGAGAGGACGACCAGCCACACUGGGACUGAGACACGGCCCAGACUCCUACGGGAGGCAGCAGUGGGGAAUUUUGGACAAUGGGGGCAACCCUGAUCCAGCAAUGCCGCGUGCGGGAAGAAGGCCUUCGGGUUGUAAACCGCUUUUGUUAGGGAAGAAAUACUGUGUGCGAAUACACCGGGGUGAUGACGGUACCGGAAGAAUAAGCACCGGCUAACUACGUG
rnacentral:rRNA from 1 species